AGAGUAAAUGGGAUAUGGGGGUGCUCUGCGAGAUGUAAGUGUAGCAGGGCAGCCAAGCCCAUAUCCCCGCACGCAGGGUAGUUCACUGAUGACCUUUUGGUGUAUGGCCAGCGACACCCAUAUAUAUAACCCCUUUAAGAGGGGGACCCUGGAAUCGCCGCCGCCAAGGGGUGAGUCACCACUUCACGCCCUGCCCCCCACCAUAUAGGGAAGAAAAGACUAAAGGAUUCCACCCAAGGCCAUAACUGCCACCUGAGACCACGAAUUUGCAGUCUUGCUGCCAAGACCACCUACAUCCGGAAAACCAUUCACCUUACCUCCAACCACUCCAUCAGGCCAUGCCUGAUGUUGCACAACAAGAGCUCACUCACAGGGCACUCCUGUGAACUGCACGGUGAAUCCUCCAUUCUGUUGCUACCCCCGAUGGCGGCCUCAUUUCCUGAGUCUCAGACUGAACAAGCAUUUAAUGUGUGAAGUAGAAGUUGGAAUCUAGCAUGAGGAGGAGUGCGAGGGAGACCUUGCCGAGGCAAUGCCAGCCCUGGAAGCUCCCCUUUCGGCUCUCCAUACCCUGAAGCUGGCAAAUACCUCCUUUGUCAAAUCCCUACAGGAUCCACCAGGACCUGUCAAGCUGGUCAUGGAGAGUGUGAAAGAAAAGCCAGAAAGAAAGCCUGAAUCAAGUGGAAAGGGGGGAUGUUUUUCAGCCAACUGGGAUUGGGAACAGCCAGCCUUUAUCGGCUGGGGGCAGACCGGGGUGAAGCCCCAUCUACUUAGCCUGGCUGUAUUGGCCACCAAAUGGAUGGUGGAAAAGCCUGCCAAUCCAAGUGGCCGACAUAGGAAUUCCCCAGCCGACGGCCAUCUUGUCACAGCGUUGCUUCCUGGGGAUCAGAGCCUGCCACGAUAGGCCACAACAGCUGCCCAGCCCGUGUCUGGGUAAGCUGCCAUUCUCUCUGACCACCUCCUUGUUAGUAUUUUGUGGGAGGGAUUGCAGUGUACACUGGAGAUUUAGGUUGGCGCAGUUAAAGUGGAUUAAAGUGCUCUGUCAUCCAGCUUGCUCCUUAAAGUCCAGAUAUAAUCUAACUUCUGCAUAAGCUUUGUGCAAGCAAAUCAAGAUGCAUGCCCAAUAAGUGGCUUGUCGGGUGGAGCUCACUGAUCCAGUUGUUGACGAUGCCUUCUGUCUAAGAGCAAUCUUCAUCUGCUCUUCUUUUUUAAAUAGAUGACCAUGUCCACUCUGUGGCUCCUUGGUCUUUUCCUAUUCGCUGUGGUGCGGACCAUGGUUGGCCCCACCAACUCUUGAUUCCAGGUGUAGGUUGGAUUUGGCUUAGGCAUUGGAGGGCUGGCGCAUGAUAGAGUCUGUAUAACAAUAGCAGCAACUCCCCAUCCCACACACCACUUUCAAAUUACACUGCAAAAGUAAAGAAAAAGUAAAGCAAACUGUAGGGAAGGCCAGGAAUGGAUUUUCUGUGAAAACAAAUUCCUAGGUGGAAAAACUGCAGUCAGAGGCAGGGAUGGAAGGCUCUGUCAGUUUCAGUUCUCUUUCAGUUAGUCUAAGGCUAUCAGAGAAUUCCUAUGACUUUCCAGUUUUGUUGAAUAUGAACUCUCAUCAUUCUAUUAUAAUUAUUUUUUAAAAAAUAUAUAUUUUAUUCAGAUUGUUGCAUUUAUGACCUUUUUAUUGACAUGCAAUAUUUUAUGAAUUGUUGCAUACAACCCUAGUAAAAGAGAAUUACAUG